CGGAAGAAGCAGAGAGCUGGGGCGGGGGGGGGGGGAUCGCGGCUGCACGUGGAGCGCUGCUCUCCCUGUCCCGCCCCGCCCCGCCCCGGACCCAACCAAGAGACCUGCGGAGGGGUGAAGAGACCCAGGGACCGGAGAACGCGAAGGAAGUGUUCACUCCUCUAGGCAUCGGAUAACCGAGCCGGGCUCAACUGGGUUAUAUAAAGUGGACUCUGCUUUGCAUGCCUUUCCUGUGGCACCGAGGCCGGGGGGAGGGCAAUAGACUGUCGACUCUCCCUUCCGUCUAAAAGAUUCUCUUCUCCGCUAUUGCCCUCUACACACCCUAGUCCCCUGACGCUCCCUCACCGGCCUAGACGGGUUACCUGGGAAUGGUUGUUUUACCUGAGCCACCGCUUGAUAAUUCAAAACUGGGGCGGCCUCUGCGAAGAGAGGCGGUCCCUAGUACUGGAGACUUCGUGACUCCUCUGUCCCCUCCCGUCCGGCACCCACUUCGCCCUCACAGUUUUAUCCUGCAUGUGGGCUGUGAGUGUCGCCCAAGCCCAUCCGCCCCCGCUCAGUCUGUCUCCCCAGGUUGAAAUAGCCUCUGCCUGUGGCCCUCAAAAUGAUGUUUACCCUUGGUGAAGGUGGCCUUCGUUGCGGUGAGCAGUGCAAAAGACAGCCUAAAUGAUUUCAUUAUUCCCAAAGACCCCAGCAGAAUGGAGGUCUCAUUGCUCCUUUUGGUAGACAGGUGAAGAAGUCCUUUUUGUUCUGCUCCCAUCUGGAUCUGCUGGGAUGCCUGGCAUCAUGCGCAGCUGUGUUUGUAUUACAAACAGCAGACACAUCGGAAGUAAUCAUCGGUAACAAGCUGUGCUCAAGUUACUUGUCUAGCGAAGAUGGCUGAUCUGCAAGCUGGCAUCUGCAGCCUGCCUCACUCUGCACAUCUGGGUAAUAGAUGGGCUUCUUGUUGCACCGUGGCUAGCUCACACUGUGACAUCAUUGCUCUGGAGGCUCUUGAUGUGGGCCCGGACUGUGAUGGCCAGAUAAGGUAUAAAACCUGAAGAGGCUGGAGGCAAGCGGUGCCUCAGCUUCCCCAACCAGAACAGCACGAAGUGUCGGAAGACAGAAUGAGAGCAGCAGACUCCCUCGCAGCCCAAGCACCAGUUAAUCUUACUUCUUAGAUUUGGAGCUAAAUAAAUCAGUGCUUAUACACUUAUCGUGCGCUCUGGAAAGAUGGUUUGAUGCUGGUCAAGAAUGUGUUGUUUGUUACUCAAAAAGAAUUUCCUCAGCAUCCCUCAAACUCAAAAUGGAGUUGGGGCUGUUCAUCCCAUAAGGACCCUCUCUUGGAACACAGUUUGGGAGCAGACUGAUCUGUGCCACAUCACUACCUUUACUAAUUUCACAGUAACAAUCGUUUUGGCAGACAACCUGAAGUUUCUCUCCAGUCCUUCCCCUCGCUCUCAGGUCCUAGGGUGAGCUAGCAGCUUUUUCCGACGAUUGCCAUGAAAAGUUAAGUUCUAUUAAAUAUACAAGAUGGGCCAAGCAGCAAGACUCUGCCAGAGUUGGGACUGGAAGUCCUACAAUUUAAAGACUUGCUUGUUAAACACACAAAUAAUCCUCAAUUACCAGAGGAUAAUUGUGUUAGCUGUAAUAGCAAGAAAAAGUUACUUCUUAGUGUGUUACUCAUUUUCUCAUCUUCUGUCCCUUGUCUCACAAUCCCAAACUAAGCACGAACAGCCCCCGACUUGACUCUCUCAGGAAUAGGGGAGCCAAUAAAACCAGACACCUACGGAGAGUGACUUCGCCCAGAGAGGGCCACAUAACCUCUUCCACACACACCAUCCCUUCCGCACCCUCUCCUAGAGCCACCACAGAGAUGCCAGGUGGUGGUGGGUGGCAGUGACACCAGUAAAAGUUCCUCCUACCCAAGGGAGGGAAGCAGAAUUAUUACUCAAAAACAUGUACCAGUUUAAUUCUGGAACCUCUCUGUUUCUCACCUUGGGUGGUAAAAAUGACCCUGUGGCUUUUCUCUGCACUAACGGGGCACUCUUUUCUUAGCUGGGAGAAUGAAAAUGUCUUCGGCAAGCAGGAAUCCCACUUCUCCACGUUCCCCCAGCUGGACUUUCAGUCCCGGGGUCUUGAACUCUGCACCGUGCUCCGCAUCAGAGAGUGGAAGUGAGAACCCCCCCCCCCCGCACCACAAGAUAAUUGCUGCGUACCCGAGGGAUAAUAACGGGCAAUUGAAAAGCCCACACUUGAGUCCCACCAGUCGGCAUUUACAUGUGCUUCCCAUUAAAACCCCCGAUCCC